GGCGACUACUUAAAUAGUAGAAUAUUUUUUAUAGCAUUAACAUCAUAUAAUGGGAAAAAAUUGGGAAGAGACGUUCUUUGGCAAAACACUGGUUGGAGAUGGGGUGGGGGGGGGGGUGGGGGUGGUGGCUCUUUGCAGAAAACUAAAUGCUCCAGGAGCCUGUGUCGCGCGCCUGAUAUUUGUUUUUUUUUUUACAAUUUAUGGAUGAAAUAAUGCAACCAUUAUUCUUUUGCUUUAGUUUCAGAGAUGUAAUAAAAAAACUGCCUUUUAUUCCUAUGUUCUAUUUUUAGCCAUCUCAGCCAUUUUGGUUGGCAGGCAUAUUUUUUAAACUCGAUACCCUAAUGAUGAUUGCAGCCUUUGUCUCAGUUGUUUCAGAGGAAAAGAAUUUUGUAAUUACAAAAAAUUACAAAAAAUUGUUAAAAAUUGACUUUAAAUGGCAAUAACUCCUUUAAAGGUCAAAUGACAAUUUUGAUCAUGGAAACUUAAUUGUAGAUUUGACUUUGCUGAACAUUAUUGCUGUUUACAGUUUAUC
rnacentral:lncRNA from 1 species